rnacentral:rRNA from 1 species
UGACGCGGCGGCAGGCUUAACACUGCAAGUCGAGCGAGAGAGGUAGCUGCUACUGAUCUAGCGGCGGACGGGUGAGUAAUGCUUAGGAAUCUGCCUAUUAGUGGGGACAACAUCUCGAAAGGGAUGCUAAUACCGCUACGUCUACGGGAGAAAGCAGGGGAUCUUCGGACCUGCGCUAUAGAUGAGCAAGUCGGAUAGCUAGUUGGUGGGUAAAGGCCUACCAGGCGACGAUCUGUAGCGGGUCUGAGAGGAUGAUCCGCCACACUGGGACUGAGACACGGCCCAGACUCCUACGGGAGGCAGCAGUGGGGAAUAUUGGACAAUGGGGGGAACCCUGAUCCAGCCAUGCCGCGUGUGUGAAGAAGGCCUUAUGGUUGUAAAGCACUUUAAGCGAGGAGGAGGCUACUUUAGUUAAUACCUAGAGAUAGUGGACGUUACUCGCAGAAUAAGCACCGGCUAACUCUGUGCCAGCAGCCGCGGUAAUACAGAGGGUGCAAGCGUUAAUCGGAUUUACUGGGCGUAAAGCGCGCGUAGGCGGCUAAUUAAGUCAAAUGUGAAAUCCCCGAGCUUAACUUGGGAAUUGCAUUCGAUACUGGUUAGCUAGAGUGUGGGAGAGGAUGGUAGAAUUCCAGGUGUAGCGGUGAAAUGCGUAGAGAUCUGGAGGAAUACCGAUGGCGAAGGCAGCCAUCUGGCCUAACACUGACGCUGAGGUGCGAAAGCAUGGGGAGCAAACAGGAUUAGAUACCCUGGUAGUCCAUGCCGUAAACGAUGUCUACUAGCCGUUGGGGCCUUUGAGGCUUUAGUGGCGCAGCUAACGCGAUAAGUAGACCGCCUGGGGAGUACGGUCGCAAGACUAAAACUCAAAUGAAUUGACGGGGGCCCGCACAAGCGGUGGAGCAUGUGGUUUAAUUCGAUGCAACGCGAAGAACCUUACCUGGCCUUGACAUAGUAAGAACUUUCCAGAGAUGGAUUGGUGCCUUCGGGAACUUACAUACAGGUG